UUCAGACUGUCUGUGACCUUGACUCAGAGGAUGAACGUGAGCUGUGAAGCAGACAAUGAGGAUGGGAACAAGCUGCAAACAGCACAACAGCAAACUUCAUUUGGAACCAGAGAUUACAGAUACAAAUUCUGACAGCCUGAUCCUGCCCAUGUAAUCAUGUGCACUGAGUAUGUGAUGAUAUUGUAACUUACAGGGACAGCUGGGUACCUAUGAAAGCACAACAAAGCUCAGGCACUAUUUCUCCCAGGAAAAACACAUUAGAAUGAUGUUCAAGUCAUUUGGGGUUAAAAAUGGGCUGGGAUGGAGCAGGGGAAGAUUCUAUCUAAUAUAUCAGUUAUAUUAUCACAUUGUGAUAAUCCUGCUUGCUUACACGCUCAUGAAAUACUACUACUAAUUCUCCUUCUGGUCUGAAAUUUUUUAGGAUGUGUCUGCAGAAAGAAAAGACUCAGAGAAGGAAAACAGUCAUGAAGGCAGAGAAACCUCCUGGUCUCGGGUGAACUACAUGAGAUGCAGUGAUUGCUGAAGAACCCACUUGUAGAUAUGGAUGCAGCCCACCUCUACGUAUUAUACUGCAUGACAAAAUAACAAGGACGUUGCAUCAAUGUCAAAGUCAACGGGACUUUUCUCUAGAAAUCCCACCAGUGGUGUCACAGCAGUUGGUGAUGCCAGCCUGUCUAAGCAGUUAUUGCUUCCUGACAACUUCAUGCCCUUGAAACCAUGUUUGCAGAUGGAUGGUAAAUAAUACUCUUCUGAAAACAACAAAAAAGUAGGAUUUUGGAGUUAGUUGUGCCAUGACAAGAAGGUUUAAGAAAAACAGUGUAUUUCUGUCUUAUUUUGCCACAUGACAACAGAAAAUGUCACUAUAUUUUAAUACACAGAUAUAUGCAGAAUGAUCAUUCACUUGGAAAGUCAUUUUAAGGAAGUAUAAUUAUUUUUCAUUGCCAUAAUUGUUCUUGAAUUUUACAGAAAUGCUUUGUAUAUUUCAUGGCAACCGUUUCGUCACCUGAAAGCAACAGAGCUGUAGAUGGCACUCUCCAUUACUGUGGCAAGAUUUACUUCUUGGGGAAAGAUAUUCUGAAAAUACCCAAACAAAAUACCAGUAAGAAUAAUAUAGUAUGUCCUAUACUGUCCAAACACAUGCAUUUAUCAUGUAGCAGAAAUAGUGAACAUAAAUGGUGAACUAAAAAUGGGCGAAUUAACACAGAACUUAGUUGACCUUGUUUUAAAGGAGAGAAAACAGUCUGUUUAUGUCCCAGAAAACAGCUGCCUUCUUUUUCCAAGUGAUAAACCAGUCUGGAAGAACUGGGUAAGACACAUUAUUAACACAAGUUUCAUUUUUUUUUUGUAAAGACGUGGCUGGAGUCAGUUUGACAGCACAGUUAUUUUCAUACCCCACGUCUAAUCUGGUCUUGGCUGCCUUAUCCUCACACAUAAGUACCCAAGUGGCCUGCACAGAACAUUGUCCCCUAUGCAGGUGACCCCUUUCCUUUUGGAAUUACAAUGCUAUUCUCCCUGUCUUCAUUAACUUUGCUCACCAACUCUCUUCUUACAGAUGAUCAUACAGGAAAUAAUACAGAAAAUUAAGAUAAAUGAUGAAAAAAAUUGCACAGACAUUUAUAACUACAAGAUUUCAGAUAUGAAAUUUCUCAUCUCUUCCCUCUCCUGUUUUUACAAGAAUGGAAGCAGUGAGCAGUUAUGUGCACGUGUAACAUGAGAAUAAUAAUUAAGAAAGGAAAAUAACUAUGUACUAAAGACAGAUCUGAAAGAGGAAAACAGGGUUUUUCCCUCUCAUGGUUUACUAAAAUGUAGAAGAAUAUCCCGAGAAGGAUUAUUUUUAAAAUGCUAUUUUCUACUAAAGCCUUGACAUUGCUUCUUUAAUGCAGAGUUCACUCAAGUUUCAGAGGUUUUUGGAACUCCCAGCACUCAGAUGUAGACUUCAGUCCUGAAGUAUCAGGUACUUUAUUGUACUUAAUAAAACCCUACUUGCUGCUGUGAGUGAGCUGAACGCAUACUGCUUUAAGGAACCAGAGUGUAAAUCAUCUCAUACCAGCAAAAAUGUCUGGGAAAAAUGUAGGAAGAAAUAUCCCACAUACAUGCACUGCCAAGAUCUUCUGUUCCUUCCAAAAGCAGAGUAUGAUAUGGAGUUUGGGUACUCCAGACAAAGAUAAGUGAUGUGAACUUAGCAAAAAAUUCUACAGUAAUUCUCCUGUUCCACUUAAAAGGUAGAAUUGUUUUAAGUAGGUUGGGUUGUUUGGUGGCAAGAUAUCGUAAAUCCUUAUGAUGUGCAGGAAAUGCACAGGAUGUGUGACAGGGAUAUCUAAGAGAGAAUAAUGAUACAUAUUCCGACUUUUACAUAAUGGAAAGGAUAUAGAGCAGUGGGACUUUUGGAGGAUAAAACAUACGUGCGCACACCUUAUGUGUACACACCUAAAAAGAGGGUUCAUGCAUACUUGUCGAGGUCAAGAAUAGGGAAGAAAUGGGAAGCAUGUAUUGUUUAGAAAAAUCUGAGUAGCACAUGAAUAAAAUAUACCACACAUAUAUGAAUAUGUAAUUAUGAUACAUAUGCUAUGUUUAACAUAUUUUGUUAACUAUUUUUCAUAUAUCACAUUCAAUGUAUAUAUGCUUUAUGUAUUAUAUUUUAGUUACCAUGUGUAUUUUGGUUACAUUAUGUAUUAAAGUCACUUGGAUUCUAUGUUAUGUUUGGCCUCUAAUCAACAUCACUUUAUUGUUUUAUAAGACACUAACGGAUCACUAUUAUCCAGCACUGAAAAUUUACCAUUCAAUGAAAAAGGAUCUACUGCUUUGGAAGAGUUUAUGUAUUAUUUUAAAUCCCCAGCCUACAUCAGAGGCUUAUACAGGCACUAUCCUCUAAUUCUUUUCCUCUGCAACAUAACCUGGUACAUCAGCCAAUUAGCACUGGGAGAAUCUGAAUACUGAGAUCAGAAUACUAUGCACUCUAAUUUUAUCCUGAGGAAGUUAGGCGAUUAUCA
rnacentral:lncRNA from 1 species